rnacentral:lncRNA from 1 species
UUACAAGUCUCUAUUUAAUUUAUUUAAGGAAAGAAUGCACAUUUAUUUAAUUCACCCAAAUACCAUAAAUAUUUUGGGAAAAAAUGUCUCAGAUAAUGGAGCAAAUUUAGACAGUAGUAUAAUGUGGAAUAUUUGAUUUGAUUUUGUAUAGAUUUUGUAUAUUAAUGUAUAGGGAUUAAUUGAUGAUACUUUUACUAAAGGAAUCUAAAUAUAAUGUUUUCAUGUGCCCUGCCAUCAGCAUUGCCGUUAAUUACAGCAUCGGUUACUGCAUAAGAUUCGUAUGACCCAAAUUAAAUAAAUAAUUAAAUUACAUAAUUGUAUAAAAUUGGGAGUAUCCUUUUCUAAUCUAAUUUCUUUUCACAUUUAACUUUCAUUCAUAUCGAUUAUGAUACCCUGUUUAAAUCUUCUUCCAUUUGUCAACUAUUUCAUUUCCAAAAUCCAUUUGUCAACUAUUUCAUUUCCAAAAAUAUAUUUUGGUUUGUUCUCUUUUAUUUUUUAUUUACCUAAUUAAAUAAAUUUUGUGGCAAAGUUAUAUUUUAAAUAUUUUAAUUUAUUUUAAUCACGAAUUUUUUAAAAUAUAUUUUUUUUAAAGUUCAAAUUUCAUAACUUACGUAUUUUACAUAAUUUACAUAAUUCAUAAUUUACAAAAUUUAAAUAUAUAAUACUUGGUUCUACAUAACUUAUUAAUAUUUAUAUAUAGUUUUAAUACAUAUAAUUUUAAAAUUAUAUAUCCUACAUAAUAUCCUAACUUACAUAGUAUCGUACAUAAUAACUUACAAAAACUUACAUAAUAACCUACAUAAUAACUUAUAUAACAAUACAUAACCUACAUAAAUUAAAAAAGUUCUACGCAUAACACACAAAAACAAUAACUUACAUAACUUACAUAAACUUGCAUAAAUUAAAUAACUUGCAUAAAUUAAAUAACUUACAUAACUUACAUAACCUACAUAACUUACAUAAAUUAAGUAACUUUACGGAACUUACAUAACUUCCAUAACCUACAUAACGUACGUAAAUUAAGUAACUUACAUAACCUACAUAAAUAAAAUAACUUACAUAACUUACAUAACCUACAUAACUUACAUAACUUACAUAAACUUGCAUAAAUUAAAUAACUUACAUAACUUACAUAACGUACAUAAAUUAAAUAACUUACAUAACUUACAUAAAUUAAGUAACUUACAUAACUUACAUAAACUUGCAUAAAUUAAAUAACUUACAUAACUUACAUAACGUACAUAAAUUAAAUAACUUACAUAACUUACAUAAAUUAAGUAACUUACAAGAUUUAGGCCUUGGGUACAACAAAAUCCAUAGUUGCCAAAAUGACUGUAUGUUGUAUUGGGGCGAGAGAAAUGACCAACAGUGCUGUCAUGUAUGCGGCCAAUCCCGUUGGAUUAGUAGAAACACAGAAGAUGGGAAGGACGAUAAAAAUGGUGCACAGUCGAGAAAGAAGCCAGUCAAGAUUUUGCGGUAUUUUCCCCUGAUACCAAGGCUUCAAAGGCUAUUCAUGUCGUCCAAGACAGCGGAAUCAAUGACGUGGCACCAUGAUGGACGAACCGAUGAUGGAUUACUAAGGUAUCCGGCAGAUUCUUUAGCUUGGAAAUCAUUUGACAAUAAAUUUCCAGGCUUUGCAAGCGAUCCUAGGAGUGUGAGGCUUGGUCUAGCAUCUGAUGGAUUUAAUCCUUUCAAGAUCAUGAGCACUACGUACAGUACUUGGCCAGUAGUGCUUGUUCCUUAUAAUCUGCCUCCGUGGAUUUGCAUGAAGCAAUCUUCCCUUAUCUUAUCUAUGAUUAUCCCUGGUGAGAAAGGGUCCGGGAAUGAUAUCGACAUUUAUUUACAGCCACUUAUUGAAGAGUUAAAACAAUUAUGGGCUGGUGUCGAGACAUAUGAUGUGGUGAGAAAGGAGAACUUUAAUUUACGUGCGGCUUUGAUGUGGACCAUUAAUGACUUUCCCGCUUAUGCCAAUUUAUCUGGUUGGAGUACCAAGGGUCGUUAUGCGUGUCCUUGUUGUGCUACACAAACAUGUUUGCAAUGGUUGUACAAUGGGAAGAAGUUUUCUUACAUGGGGCAUCGUCGGUGGUUACCGAAAAAUCAUAGAUUUAGAUUUCAGAGUUCUGUAUUUGACGGCACUGAAGAGUUCAGAGAAGCUCCUUCCCAGACCAGUGGCUCUGAAAUAUUGUUCAUGUUGGAAGAUAUGAAUUUUAUAUAUGGGAAGAUGAACCAACUGCCAAACACACAGAGAAACAGAAGAUCAAAUGAUGAAGCUGAUGAGAGCUCUGACGAAGAGGACGAUCCCAAUGAGGCGGACUUGUGGAAAAAAAGAAGUAUUUUUUUUGAGUUACCUUAUUGGGAGCUUCACCUUUUACGACACAAUUUUGAUGUUAUGCACAUUGAGAAAAAUGUCUGCGAGAACAUUGUGGGUACAAUUUUGAACGUCGACGGAAAAUCAAAAGACAAUCUUCAGAGUCGACUUGAUUUAGUCCAAAUGAGAACCCGACCUGAUCUUCAUCCCAAUCCACUCCCGAAUGGGAAAUAUCGGUUGCCGCCUUCUAUUUUUUCAAUGUCGAAGACGGAAAAAGAAGUGUUUUGCACAGUGUUGAAGGAUAUAAAGGUUCCAGAUACGUAUGCAUCAAAUAUAUCUCGAUGUGUUAGUGUUAAAGAUCGAAGAUUAUAUUCGCUAAAAUCACAUGACUAUCACAUCUUGAUGCAAGAUUUACUGCCAGUUGCUCUACGAUGUUGUAUGUCGAAGAAGGUAACGUCUUGUAUAAUUGAACUGUCCAAUAUAAUGAAAGCCAUUUGUGGUAAAGUUUUGGAUGUUCAAGAACUUCAGAAGGUACAAGAUCGAGCUGCUUUGACUUUAUGCAACUUGGAGAAAAUCUUCCCACCUUCUUUCUUCACUAUUAUGGUUCACUUGAUAAUCCAUCUCCCGCAUGAAGCAAUUCUUGGCGGACCUGUUUUCUAUCGAUGGAUGUAUCCCAUAGAAAGGUGUUAAUUUAUUUUUAAAAUUUUUCCUCAUUCACCUAAAGUUGUUUUAGUUACAACUUUUGAUAAUUUGUAUAUUGUUUUUAGGUUCCUAUCCAAACUAAAGUCUUAUUGCCGCAACAAGCGUUAUCCAGAAGGAUCGAUUGCUGAAGGCUACUUGGCAGAAGAAUGUAUGAUCUUCUGUUCAAGAUAUUUGGAAGAUGUUGAAACAAGGUUGAACAGACCAAGUAGAAAUGCUAGACUCACGGAACAUAACUCUGCCGAUUCUUAUCUGUUCCAAAGUUUUGGAGAACCAAUCGGCAAAGUUGAUAUUGCAGAAUUAGAUGAUUUAUCGUGGGUACAAGCACAUCGAUAUGUUCUGUUUCACCAUGAAUCAAUGGAACCAUUACGGAAGUAAGUUUUAGAAAUUUGAUAAAUAUUCAUCAAUCCAAAAUUGUUUAUAUUCUAACAAAGCGAACAUUUUUUUUUAACAUAGUGAGUACAAACAAAUAUUGAGAUCUCGUUCGCGCUCCCGAAGAACACAACAUCGAGAUAUCAAUAAGUUGUUCACUGAAACUUUUCAUGAAUGGUUAAGCCAAACGGUAUGUAAUUGGAGCUUUAUUUAAAAAUAAUAAAGUUUUCUCAUUACAUUUUUAAUUACUUAGUUUACUUUCCAUUCAAUAGGUUUGGAGUGGGAAGAAUGUGAAUGACGAAGUUAAAUGGCUUUCCCAAGGUCCAAAUUGAGUGGUUAAAAGAUAUAGUGCGUUCCUCAUCAACGGAUUCAGAUUUCAUACAAAAUAUCGCGAGAGAUUGAGGAGAACGCAAAAUUGUGGAAUAGUUGUUAAUUCCUCAAUUACAAGUUAUGCUAGUGCUAGGGACAAUAAUCCUGUCCAGGGAAAUGUGGAAUAUUUCGAACUUCUUACUGACAUAAUUGAGUUAGAUUACUAUGGCAAAUGGAAAGUUGUCUUAUUUCGAGGUGAUUGGGCCGAUGUUAAUACUGCUCGUGGAAUUAAGCAAGAUCAAUUUGGUUUUAUAAUGGUCAACUUCGCUCGAUUGAUUCACACAGGACAACAACUGAUAGAUGAGCCAUAUGUAUUCUCAUCUCAAGUCAGACAAGUUUUUUACUCAAAAGAUCCAACCGACGAGUGUUGGUACGUUGUACUUCGUAACAUCCCUAGAGACUUGUUUGACAUGGGCAGUGGAAGUAGAGAUAAUAUCGAUGAUAGAUCAGAAACUGUGCCCUUUCCGGAACAACACUUAAACGAAAGUAUCCCUAGUACUAGUACGCAAUUUCAAUGGGUUCGCCAGGAUGCAGAUGAAGAUAUUUACGAAUAAUGAUGUAGUAAGAAUAUACGAUUGUUUAAUUAUAUGUAUAUCAUAAUUUAAAUCUUGGUCUUAUUAUAUAUUUUGACUAUUUGAUAUUCGCUGUUACUGUUGUAAUUAGUUACUAAGUUUUCAACUAUUUUAUAUGUAUUGCAGAAAAAAUGCCCAGAAGAAAAAUGCGAGAGGUAGGCAUUGUUCAAAGUGCUCCAAAUUCGGCAGAAAUAAAUAGUGAAGAACAUGCAGGAAUUGGAUCUUCGAAUGUUCCGAUUAUACCUGAGGAUCCUCCAGAAGUUCAAAGUAAUUUUAGAUUUAAUUUACAUACGUGUUGACUUGUAAUUGGUUUAUUUUUCAAAAUCUUAUAUUAUAAUAUACCAUUUUUCAGCUAAAAAUGGUAGGACGCGCAGAGGUCGAGGUCGUACGCUACUUAGCGAGUUGUACGAGUUAGAUCCAGUCGAGCGUGUCAAAGUAUGCAGAAACAGUUUUGGUCAGCCUGUUGGAACAGAAGCUCGACUAUUAGCAGGAUACAUGGGCAUUUUAGCACGAAAUGCGAAUAUGUUGCCUAUCAACUACGACUCAUGGCAUCAAAUGCCCGAUAGUAACAAAAAUCAAGCCAUCGAUAAUAUUAAGGUAACAAAACGUUAAUGUCAUCUGUAAUACUUGGGAAUUAGUUUCACUUAUAUUUACUUUCUUAACUUGUGUUCUUUGUAGGCGAGGUUUGCCUUAGAGGUCUCGGAUGCCUAUGUAAAGAAGGCAUUGGGAAAAAGAUGGAGAGACCAUAAAAGUACUUUAAAGAGAGAUUAUUAUAAGGUAAAAACAACCCUCGAUGAGAAAUUGCAAAAUGUCCCGCCGGGUAUGCUGAGGUACCAAUGGGAAGAUGCGGUUAGAUUUUGGCAUUCGAAGAAAUGCGAGGUAUGAUGUACUUCUAAACUCUUGUAAUUAUUUUGGUUUAUUGUAUUUACUAUUUUCGUACUAAUAAUUUCAUAACGUAGGAUCGUGAACGGGUUGGAAAAAACAGCAGGGAGAAACAAAAAUUCACGCACACAGCCGGGUCGAAAAGUUUUGCUUGUGUAGCUGAGGCUGAGGUAUUUUUAAUUUUUUAAUACUGUCAAAUAUGUGUUACUUUCCAUUAAAUAAUAUUUUUACUACUAUAUUGUAGGAACGGUCAUCCGGUCAAAAAGUUGGACGCCUUCAACUUUUUGAGAUUACACAUAAGAAGAAAGAUGGAUCUCCUAUGACUCCUGAAGCUGCAGAAAUAAUUGUACGUUUACUUAAUACGAUUUUCUAAUAGUUUAAUUCAUUGCUUGUAAUGCUACUAUUGUUAACUUGUGUUGCAUUUGUUUUUUUAAUAUAUAUUGUGUUCCUAAAUAUGUGAUUUAUUUAUUAGGAGAAACUAAAUAAUAAAAAGGCAGAGUACGAAGCGAUUGCUUCUAGUGAUAGUUCUGUUCAUCUUGAAGACAUUGAUAACCGGAUUAUUACUGAAGUUAUGGGUCCUGAAAGGUAUGGCCGGGUUCGAUUUCAAGGAUCUUUUGUUAGCCCAACCCAAUAUUUUGGAUCCAACUCGCAGCAAUACAUGCGUUCAGGGAGUCAGGCUCAAGCUGAAGUUCAGAGGUUAAAAGACCAGAUGGCUCAAAUGCAAGCGACCACAGUUGAGGUUCAAAAGAAAUAUGAAGAACUCCAGCUACAACUUAGAGUAGAUACGACAGCGAGAGAAGCAGAGGUUCAAAAGAAAUAUGAAGAACUCCAGCGACAACUUAAAGCUGAUGCGGCAUCCAGAGAAGCAGAGGCUGCAGCGAGAGAAGCAGAGUAGAACAGAAAGUACGACGAACUCCAACAACAGCUUCAGAGUAUGAUGAAGAUGUUUCAGCACUCCCAACCUCCGUCGUCAUAGUGUAUUGUAUAAAUAUUUUUAUCAUUUUAACAUUUUUAUGAAAAUAAUAGAAUAUUGAUAUUAAUAUUAUAUUAUUCGUUUAAUUUGAAAUAUUAUAUAAAUUUAUUGCUAUUGGCUGGUAUAGAUUUAGUUGCUUUUGAUUUGUUGCUACAAGAGGGUUGAAAAAAAAUUUGGUAUUUUUAAAAAACCCCAAAAUUAGUGGCGUUUUUUAAAAAAGCGCCGCUAAAACAACCAACAAAAAAUGGCGUUUGUCUAAAAAGCGCCGCUAAAGAACAUUAGCUUUAGCGGCGUUUGUGUUAGAAGUGCCGCUAAAGAACAUGUUCUUUAGCGGCGCUUUUAAAAAUAAACGCCGCAAAUAUUUGUGGCGUUGUCAUUAGUGGCAAUUUUAGUGGCGCUUUAUGAAGCGCCGCAAAUACUUUUAGUGGCGCUAAAAAGCGCCGCUAAAGGCUUAAAAAAACACCGCUAAAAACCUGUUUUGGUGUAGUGUCUCUUCGGUUGUGGAUUUAAACUUGCAGCUCCAAGAAGCUUUCCGACAGUACGAGUAUUCUCAGUCUUUUUGUUAAAACCCAGGACUUGCUCUACCAUUCUUACCCAUUCAACUAAAUCUGCAAGCUCAGUAAUUCUAUGCUAUACCAACUGAAAUCGCAACUCCUCGCGUAAACCACGCAGAAAUCACUUGCAACUGUCAAUUUAAGUUGGCACAAAAUCAACAGGAUACCUACUAAGUCGCAAGAACUCUUGUUCAUAAUCAACCACAGACAUUUCACCUUGUUUCAGCAUCAAAAACUCUUGUUUUCUAUCUUUAAUAUACAAUUAUAUUUUUUUUGAAAUUCCUUUUAGAAGAUUUCCCAAUUUACCUGAUCUAAGGAUACAUGACGCGUCACUGACUCCCACCAGGUAUAUGCUUCUCAUUGCAGUAGAGGAACAACAUAUAUUACACUUUCACGUGGGUUGCAUUCAAGUUGUUGCAAGCUGCGUUUAAUGGAUUCAAUGCAAAAUUCAGCUGCAAAAAGAUCAACUCCUUUCAAUCCUAAGAAUUCAGUUGCACCGUAUUUACGCAAUUCUUUAAUCAAAGCUCGACGAAUAGUAGGUACAUAUGUCGUAGCGGAUGUGGUUCCCACCAUUCGCUGAAGAGCAUCAACGAUAGCUCUCAGUAACUGUGAAUCAUCUCUUUCUUCAAUAUUACCUCGUUCAAUGUUAGGUUGUUGAGUACUAACUGGAUUAACACUUAGUGUUGCCUAUUCGGUUCCAUCUAACUCAUUGGAGACAUCAUCUCCGGUAUACAUCUCUUGAUCAACAUCAUCAUUAUAAUCAUCUGACAUUUUUAACUAUAAAACAAAACCAAAUAUAUCAGCAUCCAAAUCCUGACUCAAUUCGACACAAUCAUGGCAUGUACCUCUAGACUCAAUUUCAAGCUCAAUUUAGUCUAAGAAUCAGCUAAACCUGCAAAACUCUAAUACCACUAAAUGUAACACCCUUACCCAUAUCCGUCGCCAAAUAAGAGUUUUGAAGCAUGACUAAAGUUUAUCGAUCAAAUAGGUAGAAUUCUCAAACAUUUCAUAUCAUCAAAACAAGUCAUCAAAGCAUAAUUUUAAUCCAAAUUGUAAACAUUCCAAAUCCAAAUCAAUUUAUCUAGUUCAUGAGCACUUAAACAUAGAAUUAAAUUCACAUGCACCUAUCUAGAUUUAGUUCAAUUUACCAUGCCAAAAUAUGGCUUAAAAAACAAACACAUAUUUAUAUGUAUAAAACCAACCAAUAUUAAACUUAUAAUCUCAUUUACAUUAAAUCCACAAAAUAACUAUUAUUUAGACACACUAGGUACAUGCCGACACAAAAGAGUAAUCACCACGUUUGAGUUCGGGAGCAUUGUUGGAUACUGAAUUGGCAAUCAAAAUUGAAGUACCUAAUUUGCACACAAAAAACAAAACCGUAAACUGAGUAAAACUCAGUGGUAUUUCUAUAAUCCGAAUAUUUAAAGACAAGAUAAUAUAAUGUGCAUAUUUUAAUUAUAAGCACAGUUGAAUAUUUAAUACCACAUUUAUUCAUACAAUGGAAUUAACCAUUCAAUAUCCAAUUCAUAAAUACAUCAUUUCAUACCAUUCUCAAAUCUUAUCACUUGCUAUAUAAUAGCUUUUCACAAUUUAAUAUAUAUAUCAUUUAAAAAAUAAUAUUAUUCAAUCCAUAUCCAAUUCAUGAAUACGUAAUUCAUGUGUCUCAUUUUCAUGUCUCAAUUCAGUAUCCCAUUUUCAUUCACAUACAAUAUCAUCCAAUAUCAAUUAUAGUACUAUUUUAUUUAAUUAGCCCAAUUAACACGACUCAGACUCAGACGGAUACACAGAUCCAACCAACACACCAAUUUGACACCUAGUGCCUCAUCGGAUAAAUCCGAAGUAAUAAUUGUGCCUAGCGCUAUAUAAAUUUGACACUCAGUGUCUCAUUGAUUAAACCGAAGUAAAUUGGCACCCAGUGCCUCAUCGACUCGAAGUUGAAGAAAUCCCUGAACUUUUCCAAUCCUAUGGCAUCUAUAUCUGACUGAGCCCGAUACAGUUAAUAGGAUUUAAUUUCACUUUCCAAAUACAACCAAUAUUCAACUAUCAUAUUUGCACAUAUAUAUUCAUUUCAAUUCAAAUAAUCAAUUUAUUCAUAAUAUAUAUCAAUUACAUCAAUUCAAUCAACUUUUAAUUCAAUUCAACGUCAAAGUGCCAAAUACUCACCUCAACACUUACCAUAUGCAUUAAAUAAAAAAUACAACAAUAAUAACUAGUUUCAGAUUAUAGAAAUACAAACUAGGAAUUUUAAGCUAUUCCACAUCAACUUUAUCUUUCCCUUUUUUAGUUGAGGGUUCCGGUACGACGUUAGCUAUGGAAUUAAAACAAUUAAAAUUCAUCAAUACAACACAAUUCAAUUUCAUAUUGAAUGUUUCAAUUUUUAUUCAAUAUUUGCCUAAAUUCUAAUUUGGCCUCUAAACCAAGACUAAUUUUUAUUCUUCACAAUUAAAUAUACAUUUCAUACAAUUUCCACUUUAAACUAGAUUUAAACCCUUAUUUUCAACUAAAUCCCUAUAUUUUAAAUUUUUCACAAUUUAGUCCCUAUUACUCAAAAUUUACAAUUCAUUCUACAAUUUAAUCCUUUUCAUUUAUAACUUAAAAAUCUAUCAAUUUAAUCCCUAAUACUAAAAUUAUUCAACAUUAACAACAGUUAAAAAAUUAAUAAUUGCUAAAAUUUUGACAUAGGUCUAGUAGUACUUAGCACUGGGAUUACAAAAACAUAAAGAUUACAAGAAAAGGGACUAAAUUGACUAAACAAUUAAACUUAGAACUUUGAAACCCUAAGCCGUGGGUUCUUCUUUCUUUCUGUAAUAUAUAUUUACUUUGGUCUUUCUUUAUUUCUUUUAUUACUAUAAUAUAUAUUUACUUAAAUAUUAAGUAAAAUAUAUUAUAAUAUAUAGUUUAACUUUAAUUUAUUAAUAAUAUAUGCUGCUGCCUCUGUCGCGUCAACAGUGCAAGUGGCGCACUUGCCUCUGCCACUGACCCACCACCGCUAUUGCCUUGCCAUUGAGUACCUGCAAACAAUUAAAAGGAAGCGACAACACCAAUAAUAGGAUAAUGUAUAAAAGUUGAAGCAAAAAAUGUAAAAGGGGUCUUUUUUUUGUUUUCAAAAAAAGAAACAAACACAAACACUCUAAAAAAAAUAAAAGCAAAAACAAAUUCAAGGUGAUUCCAUUUUUUCUUUUGGCAUAAGAUCUAUUUUUUUAUUUUUUUCUUUCGAUUUUUUUUCUUUUUUACGCACGUAUAAUCGAAAAUAAAUACAAGAAGGAGAGAUCUUACCUGAAGCGGUUCUAGGCCUUGAAUCGGGUUCUGAGAGGCCGGAUAGGCUGAAAGGCCUUUCUCUAGAACUCCGGCCACUACACUAGGUGGCAGACGGCAGAGACCAUGGCCGGAAACCCUAGGCCAAAUGGGGUUUGAGAGAGAGUUCUCUCAUUUUUUAGAAGCUGGUAAAAAAUGAAAUUUUAGGGUUUAUUUUGGCUUUUAUAGGCACUUGAAACGGUGCCGUUUUGGCCCGACUCUUUAGCCCCCAAAACGACGUCGUUUCACCCUAGGAUCUGCGCGUCGACCCGACCUGACCAGAGGAUCUGUGCGUUUUGAGAGUUGGGUUAUUUAUUGUUUUAGCCCCUCCCUUUUUUCGAUAUUUUGCAAUCGAGUUUCUUUGGUCUUUUUCAAUUGCACCCCACAAUUUGUUGCGCUUUCAAUUUGGCCCUUAUCUGAACGUUGUCAUUUGGAAAAAAGGGGAAAAUUAUUUUUUUAAUCCCUCCUCGUUACCCGCGUGUUCAGUUUGGUCCUUCUCCUUUAAUUCAUUUGCGAUUUGACCCCGAAUUUUACUUUUAAAUUCAACUUAGUCCUCUGCUUGGAUUACAUUAUUAUUACUAUUAUAUAUUCGUCUAUGUCCUUUUAAUUUUGUUAUAUAUAUAUAUACAUAUAUACAUACAUACAUACAUACAUUAUGUUAUAUAUAUACAUACAUACAUACAUUUUUUAUAAUAUAUAUACGUACAUAAUUUUUUAAUUUAUUUGUACAUAUAUAUACAUACUUAUAUAUUAUUUGUACUUUAUAUAUGUACAUAUUUAUACACAUACAUACAUACGUUUUUAUAAUACAUGUAUAUACAUGCAUGUAUAUUUUAUAACUCAUAUAUGUACAUAGAUAUAUAUGUCUUCUACAUUUUAUAAUUUCAAAAUAUAUAUAUACAUACUUACAUAUAUUUUUAUAUUUAAUAAUUUUUAAAAUAUGUAUACGUACAUAGAUUUCUCACAUUUACGUAGUUUUAUAUACGUUCACGUAUAUACAUCUUUUACAUUUUUAUAAUUUUUAUAAUUUUAUUUAUUUAUUUAUUUAUUUACACUUUUCAUUAUUGUUUUAAAAGAAUGUUUCACUUUUAUUGGCUUAUAUACUUGUUAUUUUGUAUGCUAUUGGUUUGUCCCUUUAUUUAUCUUAUUUUCGUUAAUAUCGCUCGUAUUAUUUUUACACCAUCGUAUUUAUUAUUGUUUUGUUAUGCAUAUCCACAAUGUAAUAUGUUUUCGCGUUUUUAUUACAAUGUCGUGUUUCAUUUUACUCAAUAUAUCAAAAUUUGUUUUAAAUAAAUAGCAUUUCGUUUUUUGAGAUUCGAAAAAAUCGUACCCUAACUUGCGGGGUUUGUGAUUUUCUCGAUAAAUCCAAAUACACGAAUCAUUUUAAACAAAGUUUUUAAAUGUUCUCGGGAAUUAACAAAAGAUCUUGUUCUAACUCACGGGGCAUGAUCUCUUUCCUAAACCUGAGAUAAUCAAAUAUCUUUCAAAAUAAGUAAUUUUUUUUGGCAUUUAUUCUCGUAUCGAGAAUUCGAAACAUUGUGUCCUAACUUACGAGACGUAAUUCUUCUUCUCGAUUAACGUGAAAUAUGUCCACUUCUCGAAAAUUUUUUAGCAUUUCAACAAAGGAUCAUGUUUCGAAUCUUUUCAAAUUUUCAAUCUUCGACACUAAGACAUUAAUUAGUCAACUUGGUACCAAUUUUUGGACGUUACGAGGGUGCUAACCCUUCCUCGUACGUAACCGACUCCCGAACCAUUUUUUUGAAUUUCGUGGACCAAAAUCUUUGUUUUAAUAAAACCAAGUCGUUUAUUAAAAACAACCACUUUUCGAGGUGACCCGAGCACACCUCAUUAAAAAAGAUUGGCGGCGACUCCCAUGUUCGUUUUUCAUUUUUAAAAUCCAAGGUGACCCCGUUUUCAAAAAAAAUGGUGUCAACAAUAUAUAAUAAUUUUACACCUUAUGUCACCUCAUUAAAGAACAAUGGUAUAAUUGUUUUUUAGUCCCUUUAAUUAUUUUUUAGUCUAUAAUUCAACUUUUACCCUAUAUGCAAUUUAGUCCUUAUACUUAAUUACUCCUAAUUCAUGCAAAUUCACUUAACCAAAACCCAAUUAACUACACAACUAACUUCAAAAAUAUUUUUAAUAAAUAUUUAUGAGUCCGAAUUAUGAAAAUGGAGUCCCAGAAAUGCACUUUCUAACACCCCUGACUAUCGGGUCAUUACAAUUCUCCCCCUAAUUAAAUGUCGUCCCCAAAAUUUACCUGAAAAGAGGUGGGGAUAAUGAGAUCUCAUAGUCUCUUCCGGUUCCUAAGUCACUUCUUCAACACUAUGACUAUGCCAUAACACUUUCACUAACGGAACUCGCAUAUUACGCAAUUCUUUCACCUCACGUACCAAAAUCUCAAUCGGUUCUUCUUCGUAUAACAAAUCAGGUUGAAUUUCAAUAUCUUCUGUCGAACUAACAUGAGAUGGACCUGAUCGAUAUCUUCUAAGCAUUGAAAUUUGAAAAACAUCAUGAUUGUAGUUCCGCAGGCAAAGCUAAACAAUACGCAACUGGUCCCACUCUUUUUGUGAUCUCAUACGGUCCAAUAAAAUGAGGACUUAGUUUUCCUUUUCGAGCAAAUCUCAAAAUUUUCUUCCAAGGCGAAACUUUAAGAAAUACUUUAUCGCCAACAUAAUAUUCAAUAUCUUGACGUUUCAAAUCUGCAUAUGAUUUAUGUCUAUUAAAAGAUGUUUUCAAUCUAUCUCGAAUUUUCUUAACAAUGUCUUUGGUUUCUUGAAUUAAUUUCGACCCGAUCAUUCUUCUUUCACUUAAUUCCAUCUAAUAAAUAGGUGAUCAACACCUACGACCAUAAAAGCUUUCAUACAGAGCCAUUUGAAUACUCGAUUGAAAACUAUUAUUGUAUACAAAUUCAGCCAAAGGUAAGUAGCGUUCCCAACCUGAUUCAAAUUCAGUAACACAAGUACGAAUCAUAUCUUCCAAAAUCUGAAUAACACGCUCAGAUUGUGCGUCAGUCUGCGGGUGAAAACUUGUACUAAAAUUAAGUCGCAUACUAAGAGAUUCAUGUAAUUAUUUCCAAAAUAUUGAAGUGAACUACGGAUCUCGAUUAGAAAUUAUCGACAUCAGGACACGGUGCAAUCUUACUACUUCUUGAAUAUAAACGUCAACAAGCUUUUGAAGUGACCAAUCUAUCCUGUCUGCAAUGAAAUGAGCCUAUUUCGUAAGUCGAUCAACAAUUACCCAUACAAUAUUUUUCUUACUUACUGAUAAAGGUAACCCUAUUAAAAAAUCCGGUGGGAACCUAAUGUUUUGCCUUAACUCGUUGACAAGUUAGACAUUUAGCCACAUACUCGACCACAUUCCCGUAGAUCCCGAUACAUUUUCAUUCCUCCAGGAUGCAAAGCAAAAGGACUAUCAUGAGCUUCGCAAAGUAUCAACUCUUUUAAUUCAGAAACAUUCGGAACGCAAAUUCAGUUAUGAAAUCUCAAGCAACCACAAUUAUCAAUGCUAAAUUUUUUUUAAUAUACCAUUCUGAACCAUUUCUCUUUUCGUUGCCAACUUGCCAUCUUCUAAAUGCGCUAACUUGAUCCGAUCAAACGUCACCAGUUUGAUUUUUAGUUCAGCCAAUAGGCUUCAAUCGUCAUUGAUAUUGAGUUGAGUAAACAUUGGUCGAAAUUCAUUUGUUGUUUUCCUACUCAAUGCAUCAACUACAACAUUAGCUUUACCAGGGUGGUAAUCAAUAACACAAUCAAAAUCUUUCAAAAGCUCUUCCCAAUAACGCUGUUUCAAAUUUAACUUCUUUUGAGAUAGAAGGUAUUUGAGAUUCUUAUUAUCGGUAUAAAUAUAACAUUUUGUGCUCUACAGAUAGUGUCUCCAGACCUUUAGAGAAAAACCCACAUCAACUAACUCUAAAUCAUGCGUCGGAUAAUUGCGCAUAUGCAUUUUUAGCUGAUGAGAUGUAUAAGCAAUCACUUUCUCAUCUUGCAUCAAAACACAACCAAGACUGAUUAAGGAAGCAUCACUAUAAACGACAAAAUCCUUUCCCAAUUCUAGUAAAGUUAAAAUCGACGCUUCAGUCGACAUCUGCUUCAAUUUCUCAAAACUUUCUUGACAUUGAUUGUCCCAAAUGAACUGAAGAUUUUUAUGUAACAACUUUGUCGUUGGCAAGGCUAUCUUCAAAAAUCCAUUUACAAAUCUUCGGUAAUAACCAACUAAUCAAAGAAAACAACGAACCUUUGACACAUUCUUCUGUGCUUUUCACUGAAUAAUUGCCUCUACCUUUUUCGAAUCAACUCUAAUUCCACCUAUUGAGAUAACAUGACCUAAAAAUACAACCUCUGAUAACUAGAAUUCACACUUAUAAAGUUUUUCGUAUAACAGUUUCGCUCGUAACACUUGCAAAACAAUUCUGAGAUGUUCUCAUGCUAGGAUUCAGAUUCCAAAUAGACCAAAAUAUCAUCAACAAAAAAUACCACAAAAUGAUCCAAAUACUGUUGGAAAAUACGGUUCAUGAGAUCCAUGAAUACUGUCGGAGCAUUCGUCAAUCCAAAAUGCAUCACUUAAAAUUCAUAAUGACCAUAUCGUGUACGAAAUGUCGUCUUCGGUACAUCACUUUCUUUCACUUUCAACUGAUAGUAACCCAAUCUCAAAUCGAUCUUUAAAAAGACAGAAGCUCCUUUUAGUUGAUCAAAUAAGUCAUCAAUAUGGGUAGAGGAUAUCGAUUCUUUAUUGUCAACUUAUUCAAUUGCCGAUAGUCAAUACAAAGCAUCGAACCAUCUUUCUUUUUAACAAAAAAGUACUAGACCUCCCCAAGGCGAUAUAUUAGGGCAUACAAAACCACGAUCCAAUAAGUCUUGCAAUUGUACUUUUAAUUCUUUUAACUCUGUAUAUAACAUACGACAGGGGACAUUGACACUAGAGCCGUACCAGAAAACAUUUCAAUUGCAAACUCAACCUCUCAAUCUGGUAGUAAUCCCGGUAAUUCCUCGGGAAACACAUCAGGGAAUUUCCAAACAGUUCAAAUUUUACUGCACUAGCUAUUAACAGAAUUUGAAUUGAUAACAUAUGUUAGAAAGGUUUCACAACAUUGAUUAAAAAGUUUAUUAGCUCAAAUUUCUGAAAUGAUACGAGUUGAACCACUUGUUCGAAUACCAUUCACUUCAAUCAUAUCACCGCUUUCACUCUGAACAAUAAACUUUUUUUUACAGCAAUCCAAAAUUACCCCAUGCUCCAUAAGCCAAUCCAUACUCAAAAUUAUCAAUAAAUCAACAGGGAAGGUUAUAUUUUGUAUCACUAACGAACAUCUCCUACACACCUAAUCCACUAACACAGAUUUUUCCAAUGUACUAGACACCACUGUCGAUACUCUAGACGUCUUAGAUUUUAAACUUCCUGACUCAACCAAUUUAGUAUUAACAUAUGAAUGCGAAGAUCUCGGAUCUAUCAAAGCAUAAACAUGUUUUGAAUGUAAUAAAAAUAUACCUGUCACAAUAUCAUUAGCAUCACCAUCCUUACGAGUCCACACAACAUAAGCUCGAGCUAGCGUUCUAGCCUCCGACUGUUGAGUAACAGCAUCAUUUCCCUUUCUAGCACCACCUCUCGAAAAUGAACCACUUCGACUCGACCCGCGACCCUUAGAAGCAAACAUAGAUCUCGGAGAAGUAAUAGGUGUAGCAUUUUCAUUCUUUAGACACUCUCUAACAAAAUGUUCCGUAGAUCCACAGUGAAAAAAACCUAAAAUUAACUUCCAGCAUUCACCACAGUGCUUUUUCCCACAAUGCUCACAAUUCGGAAAAUCAGUAACUCUGGAUAGACCUCACACACUACCCGUAGACACAGCCGAUUGUCUAUCACAAUUGUUUAUCAGUUCUAUCUGACUUAAAAUUUGAUCUCCUGCUACCACGAAAUUCUUUUGAUCUCUUCGAUUGUGGAUUUGAACUUGCAACUCCAGGAUGCUUUCCAAUAGUACGAUUAUUCUCAGUCUUUUUGUCAAAACCUAGGACUUUCUCUACCAUUCUUGCCCGUUCAACUAAAUCUACAAACUCAGUAAUUCUAUGCGAUACUAACUGUACUCACAACUCAUCGCGUAAAUGUUUAACUUGCCAGCGAGUUAAGGUAGAACAUUAGGUUCCCAUCGGAAUACUUCAGCCUAUUUCUAUUCCUGAAUGGAAAUGAGGUUUUAUCACAAUAGAUUUUGUAACGGGGUUACCUUUAUCGACAAGUAAGAAAAAUGUUGUAUGAGUGAUUGUUGAUCGACUUACGAAAUCUGUUCAUUUCAUUGCAAAUAGGACAGACCGGUCACUUCAAAAGCUUGCUGAAGUUUAUAUUCAAGAAAUAGUAAGAUUACACCGUGUUCCUAUGUCGAUAAUUUUUUAUCGAGAUUCAUUUUUCAUUUCAAGAAUUUGAAAACAGUUACACGAAUCUCUUGGCACGGGACUUAAUUUUAGAACAGCUUUUCACCCGCAAACUGACGGACAAUUUGAGCGUGUUAUUCAGAUUUUGGAAGACAUGCUUCUACUUGUCUUAUUAAUUUUUAAUCAGGUUGGGAGCGUUACUUACCUUUGGCAAAAUUUUUAUACAAUAAUAAUUUUCAAUCGAGUAUUCAAAUAGCUCCGUAUGAAGCCUUAUAUGGUCGUAGGUGUCUGCCGAAACCACUUUUCAAGUUUGAAAAAAACGGGGAUCGACUUUUGAAAAUAAAAUGGGAGUCACCACUGAUCUUUUUUAAGGUGUGAUCGGUUCACCAUUGAAAAUAAAUUUUAGGUCUGCGAGAUUUGAGAAAAUAGGUCCGGGAGUCGGUUAUCCACGAGGAAAGGUUAACAUCCUCGUAACGCCCAAAAUUGGUACCGAAUCGAUUGUUAAUGUCUUAAUGUCGAAAUUUUGAAAAGAUUUCAGAAUAAGAUCCUUUUAUUUUGAAUAAAAUGAAUUGGAAGAUAAAGCUCAUUUAUUUUAAAGAAAUAGAUUGUCAUACUCAGUAAGUUAGAGUGCAACAUUUCGAAUCCUCAAAAUUAAGUUUGACUUUUAAAACCUAUGCACUUUGAGAAGGAUAUUUGAUUAUUUGGGUCAAAUGAGAAAAUCAAACCCAGUAAGUUAGGAUUCGAUUUCACAAAAUUCCUAAAUAUCAAACAUUGGCUUUAUUUUUAUUCGCUGGAAAAAUCCUCGUCUCGAGAAAACAAUGUGUCAUAUCCAAUGCGUUAGGACACCACGUAUCAAAUUCUCGGGAAUGAGGCUUUUAUGUUUUGAUUAAAGCAUAUUCUCGAUUAUUUAGAUUCGACGAAGAGAAUUGGAACCCAAUGCGUUAGGGCUCAAUUUUCGAAGAUUCCAAAUGUCGAGUAUUUGCUUUAUUUUGAAAGUUUUUUUUUGAAUAAAACGAUUUUGAUGCUUAAACGGUAUUAGACAUAAUCUUUUGAACGAAAAAAAAUGAUUGAAUAAUAAUGUACAACACAAAAAGAUAACUCAUAAUCCUAAAAAGCAUGCUAAUGAACUCGUGUAAUCUAUCAACAUAAACGAAAUGAUAUAAUGUACAUAACCUCCAUAAUCACAUAUCUCAAACCAUGCAAACAUAAUUACCAACAUUAAAAAACAUAACAUUGACAAUUAAUCCUUAAGUACCAAAAAACAAGAGCAUAAAUGAUAAUCAAUAAAUUACGAACAUCGAAAUUUAAAAGAAAUAUGUAUAUGAACUUGUAUUAGAUUCCAAAUAGAGUUAAUGAAACAUACUCUAUAUAAGUAAUAGUUUUAAGGUCUACAAAAAUAAUGUAUGUGUAUAUAAAAAUGAAUUCGAAAGAAAAUAUAUAAGAAAAUCUAAAGGGGAAAAUUAAAGGUAAUAACUAGAAUAGUAUGAGAUCAAUGAUAUAUAUAAUAAAAAUAAUUUAAUAUAAAUUGUAUACAUGAAAAUAUAAAAAUAUUAAAUAAGGAUACUAUCAUAUAAAUCUUUGAAGAUGAAAUGUAUAAAAGUGGCCUUUUUUAGAAUACAUUAUAAGAUAGAAGUUAUUAAAAUAUAUUGUAUUGGAUUAAACAAUGAAAUAAUUCAUCACCAACUUAAAAUAAUAAUGUAUGAUAAUAAAAUAAAGAAUUUAAAAAAAUAGUGCAUAACAAAGUGAUAUAUAUAUAAAAAUUAAGUAACCGAAAAUGUAACUAAGUAUGAUAAUAAUGUUAAUAACAAUAACAAUAACAAAUAAUAAUAAUAAUAAAUUAGUAUUAAACUAAUUAAUAAAAAAAUGGACUAAUUUGGAAUUAAAACAGAAAUCUAGGAAUAAAUCUGAAAUAAAUAAAAAAGAAAGGACUAAAUUGAAGCGCGCGAAUAACACGAGGGAUCAAAAGGGGAAAUAAUCCCAACACCUCGAAACGCAGCACUAUGAGAAGGACUAGAGUGAAACAACAAUGAAAUAUGCGGGGCAAAUUUAAAAAAUAAAUGAAAAUCAGAUUAAAACACUGAAACAAAACUAGAGGAUCGAUGGCACAAAUAUUCCCUCCAAGACCAAAGCAUGCGGGUCUGGCCACGUCCGGAUCGGGUCAUUAGGUACGGGCCAAUACGGUGCCGUUUUGAGGCCACUAAAGCAGGCCUUAAACGGAAUCGUUUGUCACACAAUAAAUAUCCUACUUUAACCCUAGAAUCAGCAGUGAACAGCCUUAAACAGAUUUUAAAAAAAACUAAACAUUUCUCCCCCAUUCCGAAAUCGCGCAGCUCAAAAAAAAUUGGCCCAGAGGCCUUUGAACCGUCAUCCGACUCCGAUUGCGACGGAGCAAACAAAGAUCUGGCCAAACAGGUAAAACCCCUCGCCCUCUCACCUUAUUUUCACUCGAUUAAUAGAAUAGAAAAUGAAAAGUCUAGAGAAAAAAAACGGAAGAAAGAAAGAAAGGGAAUCAAGUCACCUUUCGAAAAACUCUCUGUUCUUCUCUUUUUUCUUUUUUUUUUGUAUAUUGAUAUUCUGUAAAAAAAAGGGUCCUUUUACAUUGUUUUUCUCCCUUUUUAUAGCCGGAGAUAAAAUGAAAAUACAAAUACAAUCAUCAUAAAAAUUCUAAUUUAUUUUUGCUAUUACUUUUUUUUCUAUUGCCUAUUUUCUUUGCUGUGUUUUCUGUUAUUGUUGCGUUCGUUGUCGUUUGCUUGUUUUACAGGUAUCGUACGAGGACGUCACACAGCUCGGCACGGCGUAUGGACGGAGGUGUGCGGGCGUGCGCGUACGGAGGCUCGUGCGUGAGGAGCGGCUUGGCAACGACGGCUUAGUUUGCUGCCUAGGGUUUCUGAUUUCCCCAUGUUAGGCUAAUUUGGGCUUGUAUUUUUUAUUUGGGCCUGGGCUGGUAAUUUGGGGCUGGGGUUAAUGGGUUUAGUUUACUGGGCCUUGUAACUAGACUAUUUUGGACUGUUAUUAAUUUGUUUGGUUUAUAUUUUUAUUACGGGACGGGCAAAUUGGGUUAUUACAGUGUCGAUCACGUGUUUGUUGGAUAGAAUUGAGUGAAAGAAGAAUGAUCGGGUCGGAAUUAAUUCAAGAAACAGAAGACAACUUUUGAUAGACAUAAAUCAUAUGCAGAUUUGAAACAUUGAGAUUUUGAGAUUUGGUCGAAAAAGGAAACUGAGUCCUCGUUUAUUGGACCGUAUGAGAUCACAGAAAGAGUGGAACCAGUUGUGUAUCAUUCAGCUUUGCCUGCGGAACUACAAAAAAUUCAUGAUUUUUUUUACGUUUCAAUACCUAGAAGAUAUCGAGCAGAUCCAUUUCAUGUUAUUUCGACAGAACAUAUUAAAAUUCAACCUAGUUUGUCAUACUAAGAAGAACCGAUUGGGAUUUUGGCACGUGAGGUGAAAGAAUUACGUAAUAAGCGAGUUCUGUUAAUGAAAGUGUUUUGGCGUAGUCAUAGUGUUGAAGAAGCGACUUGGGAAUCGGAAGAGACUAUGAGAUCUGAGUACCCCCACCUCUUUUCAGGUAAAUUUCGGGGAUAAAAUUUAAUUAGGGGGAGAAUUGUAACAACUCGAUAGUUAGGGUUGUCGAAAAAUACAAUUUUGGGACACUAUUUUCGUAAAUCAAACUCGUAAAAAUUUAUUAAAAAUAUUUUCGAAGUUAGUUGUGUAGUUAAUUAGGUUUUAGUUAAGUGAAUUUGCAUGAAUUAAGAGUAAUUAUGUAUAAGGACUAAAUUGCAUAUAGGGUGAAAGUUGAAUUAUAAAUUAAAGAAUAAUUAAAGGGACUAAAAAGUAAUUAUGCCAUUGUUCUUUAAAAUAACAACGUUCAGACAUGAGCCUGUUUCACAAAGGAAAUUUCUAUCAUUUUUAGGCUAAAAACAACAAAAAUAUUCUGAACAUUACUUUAAAAAAGCUCUAGAGACUAUAGGGUUUUCUUCCGCAGUCGAAUUACUUAGAACACUUCCACGUUUAUAAGGGCGGGUAUCUAACAAGGUCCAUUCUUCAGUUGCUUGUGCAUUGCAUUCACUCCACUUAUCAAUUAUGAUUGGGUAACGGAUUUUCCGCACUAGAGGAAUCAUCAAAUUUAACGACGCCCAUACUGAUAAGCCUUUCAAUCAAUUUUUUAAAGGCAAUGCAAUUUUCUAUGGAGUGCCCCGCAUUUCUGGCAUGAUAGUCGCAUUGUGCAUUCGCAUCGUGCCAUUUGGGGUACGGAGACUCUGGAGGUUUCGUGUAGAGAGGGGCAACAAUGCGCGCGUUGAAUAAGCUUUGAUACAGCUCCUUAUACGACAUCGGAAUUGGCGUGAACUGGAGGUUCUCAGUGCCUUGUUUCACAUAAGGUUUUUGUCUUGAUGAACCUUGUUGACUAGCGACCCCUUUACCUAGAUGACUUACUGACCUUGAGUAACCUGUGUUGUUCACCUUAUUUUCUCUUUUCCUUGGGGUUGACCUUUUAUCACUCUCUUUCGCCUCAAUUUUUCAAGCUCUUAUAGCAUUCUCAAUCAUUUCACCUUUCAUAUUAUGUUAGAAAAGUUUUUUUUGCGCUUCCUAACAUAUGCGUAAUGAACGGGGCCUUCAGCGUAUUGAUGAAGAGCAUUGUCGUCUCUUUCUCCAAGAGGGGUGGCUGAACUAGGACUGCAACCUCCCUCCACCUUUGUGCAUACUGCCUAAAACUUUCGCUCGAUUUCUUUUCCAAAUUUUGCAAGGUGAUUCUAUCGGGAACCACAUGCGUUACAUAACCGUAUUGUUUCAUGAAUGCAUGUGCUAGGUCCCUUCAUGAACCAAUCUCGUUACGGCUCAACUGAUUGUACCAUUUGGACGCUGCCCCUACCAAACUGUCUUGGAAGCAGUGUAUUAGCAGCUGAUCAUUGUUAGUGUAGCCAGUCAUUCUUCUACAGAACAUGGUGAUAUGGGCUUCGGGACAGCUAGUUCCAUUUUAUUGUUCAAAUUCAGGCAUCUUAAACUUGUAAGGGAGUACUAAAUCUGAAACCAAGCUCAGAUCUUUUGCAUCGAUUCCAUGGUGACUGUCGGCGUUUUCCAAGGCUUUCAAUUUUUCCUCCAACCAUUUACACCUAUCCUCCCAUUGUUUUGACAAUUCGACGUUUGCCUUCUCUUUUUCAACCAUUUCAUCGAAAUCAGGAAUAACAAGAUUCACUGGGUUAUCUCUAGGAUUAAAACCUGAUCCAGCCUCAGUCUGAAUCUGCGCAUGCAGAGGCAUAAAGCCUAGAGGAUAGAUAGGUCUAUCAUUGUCUUCUCCUUCAUCAUUAACCAUAGGAUAUUUCCCCUUAUUAAUUCCUUUUAGUAUUGCGUCAGCUCAGUCAUCACGUCAUUUUGAGACUCCCGCAUCCUUUCUCUCAUGUCCUGUUGAAUUUUUUCCAAUUGCUCCUUCAUUUGUUUCUGUAGCUGAUCUUGCAUUUCUUUUUGCAUUUGCUCCAAUUUCUCUAAUCUUUGGUCCAUUUCCUUACUCUUUCGACGAGUACCGUAUUGAUGCUUAAUGGGUGAGCUUUUGUCGGUUUCCAGAUUAGGUGAAAUAAAUUUACUCAAUCAGACUCUUUCAAUGGACUUUGAUGCAUACGAUGCAGAUGUAUGAAAUGCAUGCCUAAAGAGACGUUGAUUCUGAUUCAAUUACAUUUAGGAAACUUUUCUAGAAAGUAAAUUCCUUUACAUAAAACAGAUACAUGUACGGCCUCACCCUCAUAUUCUAAGAAACAACAUCGAUAUUUUUCUUCAUCCGCAUGUUGGAGAUAAUCUCGCCAAUUUCUAAUAGAUGCCACUCCUAGCUCUUUGUCUCGAUCUUGGUCGCGAUCCAUCACCUACCCAUCUUCAUAAGGCUCGUCAGCUUCUUUAAGGGAGUUUGAACGUCGAAGGCUCUUAGACAAUCGCCUUGAAUCCUCAGGCCACGAAGUAAGGUCACGAACUCUUCCAUGUGUUUUUCAGAAUAUAUUAAGGUAGCCGCAUUAUUUUCCACUUUAUCAAGGAAUCCGUAUUCCAUGACAAGCUUUCUAAUUUAGUAAUUGGACUUGAAUCAAUAUCUCUUUCCUAAGAUGCAAAUGCAAUGCAAUCACAAUCAAAACACAACAAAAGGGGUUAGUACAAAACAGAAGUAAACAAGGAAAACAGAAAGUACCUAAUCAGGUAACCACUAGGGAUUUGGAGUGGCUUUACCUAGGUUAAGUUCCUAAGUCCACUAUAUGAGGUUUGGUUCUAAAGUCAAGGUACCCGAACCAGCAGAUUCCUCAAUCCUCACCCAUUAUAGGCUCAUACACACCGAGUUCGAUUCAGGGAAAUACAUUUCCCUAUGGCUGCACGAAGAUGAAAAUCUCACGAAGACGAAAAUCUCACGAAGACAUAGGUACGGAUGUAUUCCGAAAGUGAUUUACUAUCCUGCACGGAGGUGAAAACCUCACGAAGGAGUAGCUUCUCACUUCCACUUAGAGGGGUAAGACCAAAAUAGCCUUUAUGCAAUAUGAUGCCAAAGUAUAAAACACAAUUUACAAUAAACCUACAAACACAUGCAAAGAGAGGAUCGUAAUUUUUCAAAUCGACUUUUCAAUUUUCGAUAAUAAGAUAGAAAACAAUCAAUUUACGGCUUGACUCUAUAUACUCCCCAGUGGAGUUACCAAGCUGUCGAAACCACUUUUCAAGUUUGAAAAAAAUGGGGAUCGGCUUUUGAAAAUAAAAUAGGAGUCACCACCGAUCUUUUUUAAAGUGUGAUCGGUUCACCAUUAAAAAUAAAUUUUAGGUCUGCGAGAUUUGAGAAAAUAGGUCCGGGAGUCGGUUACGCACGAGGAAGGGUUAGCACCCUCGUAACGCCCAAAAUUGGUACCGAAUCGAUUGUUAAUGCCUUAAUGUCAAAAUUUUGAAAAGAUUUUAAAAUACGAUCCUUUUAUUUUGAAUAAAAUGAAUUGGAGGAUAAAGCUCAUUUAUUUUAAAGAAAUAGAUUGUCAUACUCAGUAAGUUAAGUGCAACAUUUCGAAUCCUCAAAAUUAAGUUUGACUUUUAAAACCUAUGCACUUUGAGAAGGAUAUUUGAUUAUUUGGGUCAAAUGAGAAAAUCAAACCCAGUAAGUUAGGAUUCGAUUUCACAAAAUUCUUAAAUAUCGAACAUUGCCUUUAUUUUCAUUCGCUGGAAAAAUCCUCGUCUCGAGAAAAUAAUGUGUCAUAUCCAAUGCGUUAGGACACCACGUAUCGAAUUCUCGGGAAUGAGCCUUUUAUGUUUUGAUUAAAGCAUAUUCUCGAUUAUUUAGAUUCGACGAAGAGAAUUGGAACCCAAUAUGUUAGGGCUCAAUUCUCGCAGAUUCCAAAUGUCGAGUAUUUGCUUUAUUUUGAAAGUUUUUUUUGAAUAAAACGAUUUUGAUGUUUAAACGAUAUUAGACGUAAUCUUUUGAACGAAAAAAAAUGAUUGAAUAAUAAUGUACAACACGAAAAGAUAACUCAUAAUCCUAAAAAGCAUGCUAAUGAACUCGUGUAAUCUAUCAACAUAAACGAAAUGAUAUAAUGUACAUAACCUCCAUAAUCACAUAUCUCAAACCAUGCAAACAUAAUUACCAACAUUAAAAAACAUAACAUUGACAAUUAAUCCUUAAGUACCAAAAAACAAGAGGAUAAAUGAUAAUCAAUAAAUUACGAACAUCGAAAUUUAAAAGAAAUAUGUAUAUGAACUUGUAUUAGAUUCCAAAUAGAGUUAAUAAAACAUACUCUAUAUAAGUAAUAGUUUUAAGGUCUACAAAAAUAAUGUAUGUGUAUAUAAAAAUGAAUUCGAAAGAAAAUAUAUAAGAAAAUCUAAAGGGGAAAAUUAAAGGUAAUAACUAGAAUAGUAUGAAAUCAAUGAUAUAUAUAUAAUAAAAAUAAUUUAAUAUAAAUUGUAUACAUGAAAAUAUAAAAAUAUUAAAUAAGGAUACUAUCAUAUAAAUCUUUGAAGAUGAAAUGUAUAAAAGUGGCCUUUUUAAAAAUACAUUAUAAGAUAGAAGUUAUUAAAAUAUAUUGUAUUGGAUUAAACAAUGAAAUAAUUCAUCACCAACUUUAAAUAAUAAUGUAUGAUAAUAAAAUAAAGAAUUUAAAAAAACAUCGCAUAAUAAAGUGAUAUAUAUAAAAAUUAAGUAACCGAAAAUGUAACUAAGUAUGAUAAUAAUGUUAAUAACAAUAACAAAUAAUAAUAAAAAAUUAGUAUUAAACUAAUUAAUAAAAAAAUGGACUAAUUUGGAAUUAAAACAGAAAUCUAGGAAUAAAUCUGAAAUAAAUAAAAAAGAAAGGACUAAACUGAAGCGCGCGAAUAACACGCGGGAUCAAAAGGGGAAAUAAUCCCAACACCUCGAAACGCAGCACUAUGAGAAAGACUAGAGUGAAACAACAAUGAAAUAUGCGGGGAAAAUUUAAAAAAUAAAGGAAAAUCGGAUUAAAACACUGAAACAAAACCGGAGGUCCGAUGGCACAAAUAUUCCCUCCAAGACCAAAGCAUGUGGGUCUGGCCACGUCCGGAUCGGGUCAUCAGGCACGAGCCAAUACGGCGUCGUUUUGAGGCCACUGAAGCAGGCCUUAAACGGCGUCGUUUUUCACACAAUAAAUAUCCUACUUUAACCCUAAAAUCAGCAGUGAACAGCCUUAAACAGAUUAAAAAAACUAAACGUUUCUCCCCCCAUUCCGAAAUCGCGCCGCUCAAAAAAAAUUGGCCCAGAGGCCUUUGAACCGUCGUCCGACUCCGAUUGCGAUGGAGCAGACGAAGAUCUGGCCAAACAGGUAAAACCCCUCGCCCUCUCACCUUAUUUUCACUCGAUUAAUAGAACAGAAAAUGAAAAGUCUAGAGAAAAAAAAAACGGAAGAAAGAAAGAAAGGGAAUCAAGUCACCUUUCAAAAAACUCUUUGUUCUUCUCUUUUUUCUUUUUUUUUUUGUACAUUGAUAUUCUGUAAUAAAAAAAAGGGUCCUUUUACAUUGUUUUUCUCCCUUUUUAUAGCCAGAGGUAAAAUGAAAAUACAAAUACAAUCAUCAUAAAAAUUCUAAUUUAUUUUUGCUAUUACUUUUUUUUCUAUUGCCUAUUUUCUUUGCUGUGUUUUCUGUUAUUGUUGCGUUCGUUGUCGUCUGCUUGUUUUGCAGGUAUCGUACGAGGACGUCGCACGGCUCGGCGCGGCGUAUGGACGGAGGUGUGCGGGCGUGCGUGUACGGAGGCUCGUGCGUGAGGAGCAGCUUGGCAACGGCAGCUUAGUUUGCUGCCCAGGGUUUCAGAUUUCCCCAUGUUAGGCUAAUUUGGGCUUGUAUUUUUUAUUUGGGCCUGGGCUGGUAAUUUGGGGCUGGGGUUAAUGGGUUUAGUUUACUGGGCCUUGUAACUAGACUAUCUUGGACUGUUAUUAAUUUGUUUUGUUUAUAUUUUUAUUAUGGGCCAGGCAAAUUGGGUUAUUACAGUGUCGAUCACCUGUUUGUUGGAUAGAAUUGAGUGAAAGAAGAAUGAUCGGGUCGGAAUUAAUUCAAGAAACAGAAGACAACUUUUGAUAGACAUAAAUCAUAUACAGAUUUGAAACAUUGAGAUAUUGAAUAUUCUGUUGGCGAUAAAGUAUUUCUUCAAGUUUCGCCUUGGAAGAAAAUUUUGAGAUUUGGUCGAAAAAGGAAACUGAGUCCUCGUUUAUUGGACCGUAUGAGAUCACAGAAAGAGUGGGACCAGUUGUGUAUCAUUUAGCUUUGCCUGCGGAACUACAAAAAAUUCAUGAUGUUUUUUACGUUUCAAUACCUAGAAGAUAUCGAUCAGAUCCAUUUCAUGUUAUUUCGACAGAAGAUAUUAAAAUUCAACCUGGUUUGUCAUAUUAAGAAGAACCGAUUGAGAUUUUGGCACGUGAGGUGAAAGAAUUACGUAAUAAGCGAGUUCUGUUAAUGAAAGUGUUUUGGCGUAGUCAUAGUGUUGAAAAAGCGACUUGGGAACCGGAAGAGACUAUGAGAUCUGAGUACCCCCACCUCUUUUCAGGUAAAUUUCAGGGACAAAAUUUAAUUAGGGGGAGAAUUGUAACAACCCGAUAGUUUGGGUUGUCGAAAAGUACAAUUUUGGGACACUAUUUUCGUAAAUCGAACUCGUAAAAAUUUAUUAAAAAUAUUUUCGAAGUUAGUUGUGUAGUUAAUUAGGUUUUAGUUAAGUGAAUUUGCAUGAAUUAAGAGUAAUUAUGUAUAAGGACUAAAUUGCAUAUAGGGUGAAAGUUGAAUUAUAGAUUAAAGAAUAAUUAAAGGGACUAAAAAAGUAAUUAUGCCAUUGUUCUUUAAUGAGGCAGUAUAACGUGUAAAAUUAUUAUAUAUAUUAUGAAUAAAUUAAAGUUAAAAUAUAUAUUAUAAUAUGUUUUACUUAAUAUUUAAGUAAAUAUAUAUUAUAGUAAUAAAAGAAAUAAAGAAAGACAGAAGCAAAACGAAACAGAAAGAAAGAAAAAGAAAAAGAGAAAGAAAGAAUAACCCACGGCAUAAGGGUUUCAAAGGUCCAAGUUCAUUUGGUUAGUCAAUUUAGUCCUCUUUUCUUGUAAUCUUUAUGUUUUUAGAAUCCCGGUGUUAAGUACUACCCGACUCAUGUCAAAAUUUUAGCAAUUAUUGAGUUUUUAAAUGUUGUUAAUGUUGAAUAAUUUUUGUAUUAGGGAUUAAAUUGAUAGAUUUUUAAGUUAGAAAUGAAAAAAAGAUUAAAUUGUAGAAUGAAUUGUAAAUUUUGAGUAAUAGGGACUAAAUUGUAAAAAAUUAAAAAUUUAUGGAUUUAAGUGAAAAUAGGGAGUUAAAUUUAGUUUAAAGUGGAAAUUGUAUGAAAAUAUAAAAUUAAUUGUGAAGAAUAAAAGUUAGUCUCGGUUUAGGGACUAAAUUGGAAUUUAGAAAAAUAUUGAAUAAAAAUUGGAAUAUUCAAUAUGAAAUUGAAUUGUGUUGUAUUGAUGAAUUUUAAUUGUUUUAAUUUCAUAGAUAACGUCGUACCGGAAUCCUCAACUAAAAAGGGGAAAGAUAAAGUUGACGUGGAAUAGCUCGGAAUUCUUGGUUUGUAUUUCUAUAAUCCGAAACUAGUUAUUAAUUGUUGUAUUUUUUAUUUAAUGCAUAUGGUAAUUGUUGAGGUUAGUAUUUGGCACUUUGACAUUGAAUUGAAUUAAAAUUUGAUUGAAUUGGUGUAAUUGAUAUAUAUAUUAUGAAUAAAUUGAUUAUUUGAAUUGAAAUGAAUAUAUAUGUGCAAAUAUGAUAAUUGAAUAUUUGUUGUAUUUGGAAAGUGAAAUUAAACCCUAUUAACUAUAUGGGCUGCGUUGGAUAUAGAUGGCAUGCUAUAGGAUUGGAAGAGUUCAGGGAUUUCUUCAACUUCGAGUCAAUGAGGCACUGGAUGCCAAUUUACUUCGGUUUAACCGAUGAAACACUGGGUGUCAAAUUUAUAUAGCGCUGGGUGCAGUUAUUACUUCGGAUAUAUCUGAUGAGGCACUAGGUGCCAAACUGGUAUGUUGGUUGGAUCCGUGUAUCCGUCCGAGUCCAAGUCGUGUUAAUAGGGGUAAUUAAAUAAAAUAGUACUAUGAUUGAUAUUGGAUGAUAUUGUAUGUGAAUGAAAAUGGGAUAGUGAAUUGAAACAUGAAAAUGAGACACAUGAAUUACGUAUUCAUGAAUUGGAUAUGGAUUGAAUAAUAUUAUUGUUUAAAUGAUAUAUAUAUAUUAAAUUGUGAAAAGCUACUAUAUAGCAAGUGAUGAGAUUUGAGAAUGGUAUGAAAUGAUGUAUUUAUGAUUUGAAUAUUGAAUGGCUAAUGCAAUUGUAUGAAUAAAUAUGGUCUUAAAUAUUCAAAUGUGCUUAUAAUUAAAAUAUGCAUAUUAUAUUAUAUUGUCUUUAAAUAUUUGGAUUAUAGAAAUACCACUGAGUUUUACUCAGCGUACGGUUUUGUUUUCUUUGCGCAGAUUAGGUACUUCAAUUUUGAUUGCCGAUUCAGCAUCCAACAACGCUCCCGAACUCAAACGUGGUGAUGAUUACUCUUUUGCGUCAGCAUGUACUUAGGGUGUCUAAAUAAUAGUUAUUUUGUGGAUUGAAUGUAAACGAGAUUAUAAGUUUAAUAAUGGUUGGUUUUAUACAUAUAAAUAUGCGUUUGUUUUUUAAGACAUAUUAUGGCAUGGUAAAUUGAACUAAAUCUAGAUAGGUGCAUGUGAAAUUAAUUCUAUGUUUAAGUGCUCAUGAACUAGGAAAAUUGAUUUGGAUUUGGUAUGUUUAUAAUUGGAUUAAAAUAAUGCUUUGAUGACUUGUUUUGAUGACAUGAAAUGUUUGAGAAUUCUGCCUGUUUGAUCGAUAAACUUUGGUAAUGCUUCGAAACUCUAUUCCGGUGACGGAUAUGGGUUAGGGGUGUUACACUAAAAUUGCAAUUUGACCAUUCACCUUAAUAAUACAAAAAAAAAAAGAGACGAUGACCCAUUAUAUAUAAGUGAGGAAAAAAGGACCAAAAUUGAAAAUUUACCAUUUUUGUAUGAUGAAAAAAGUAACACAUGUCAACAAAGAAGGUCCUUUGAGCUUUUGUAUAUAGUUAUACAGAUUUAUGUGUAGAGGCAAUUGAAUGUCAGCAUCUAACUUCAUCGCUUUGUGUAUCUACUGACUUUGUUUUCUCUUUUCAAUAACAAUAAUGGUAUGUAUUUGAUAAUGGAGUUUUAGUUUAGUUGAUAAUAUUAUGUAAGAAUAAAAAUAUUGAUACGAAUAUGUAUUUUUUAUUUAAAGAUGGGUGAUUAAAUAGUAAUAACAGAAAUUUUAUAAAAACCAAUAAUGUAGAAAGAGCAGUAAAUAGUAAUUAUAAAAAGAGUUGAGGGAGGGCAGGGAAAAUAAUUGAAAUACAAACAACACAAAAACGGAUAAGAACAUAAAACAAGCGCAUUGUGGGACAAAUUAAAUACAAAAUAUUAGGAACUUUAAAUUUUAAAGAUAAAGUAUUGAAAGCAAAAUGCUAAAAUUCGAUAAGUAGUUAUUUUCACACUUUUUCAUUCAUUUAUUUCUUUAUUAUGAACUACCAAGUGUGCUUAAAAAUUAUAUCACUACAAAUAUUAAAUUUCAACUUAUUUAAUAUUUUAAUAGGUUAUCAAACAAAAUUAAAUUUUCAUUUAUGUACAAUGUUUACCAUAUGAUAAUGAAACACAAAUUACAAGUGUAGUAGGAAUAAGAGUAGGGGUGGGUGAAUCCAUUGCCUUUUUACAUAUCACCAAUUUCACCUAUAUAUACGUGGAUUGUCAUCCGGACGGCAUGUCAACAUUUAAUUAAAACUUUAAUUUUUUAAUAUAUUUAUAUAUUUUUUUAAUAAUUUUAACUUUUAGAAAACUUUAAAUAUUCUUUUUGAAUUUUUUAAUUUUAAAAAAUUAUUUCAAUGUUGAUGUGUCAUCCACAUGAUAAUCUAAAAGAAAACGUUAAUUUUUUUUGAUCUAUUUUAGAGUGAUUUGAUAAAAAAAAUUAAAAUUAAAUGAGGAACUAAAAUAAUUUUUUGUAAAAUUAGAAAACAAAUAAAUGAUUAUGCUAACUUAAAAUAUAUUUAAAAUUGAGUCCCUAAAAUUGAGAGGCGGUGUGAGGUUAGGUGAUCUAGCCAGCAAGCGUUGCAUCAUCGUACGCGUUAAAAACAAAACAUGUGAUGCUUGGUCGGCAUCUAAUUAGUGCAACUCAGUAUUUGAUACCCUAAACAAGAAUAUAAUGUUAAUGGUCAGAUUUUAGUUUUAAGUAAAUGACCUGUAAUUCCUUUAAAUUAUUUUCUUGGAGAACCAACUAUGAACACAUGCUUGUCUAUAAAAAGAAUAGAUAUAUCUACAAUUAACAGUUUCUUCCACAAAACUUGACACUGUUUACUAUUAUUUAUUGUUUUUAUAUGUUAAUUUUAAAAGAUAAUAUUUUUAAUAUCGGUGUAGUGGUGUGAUAAAAUCUAUUAAACAUUACUUCUUCUUUUUUAAUUUUUGAAUAAGAUUUAUAAUCUAAUUCAUUAACAAAUAAAAAAAUUGAGUAUCUAAAAUUCCAAUUUCAGUAAAAGAUUAUUAAUUAUUAAAUUUUAUCAGAUAUCAGUAAAAAAAUUAAUAUUUAGAUUAUAUUUAUACAAAAAAAUCUAAUAAAAAAUUGAGUUAUAGGUAAAAUAAUAAAUUUUCUUCAAGCUUAGGUUCAAACCUUCAUGCUUAAACAUAUUAUAUCAAUAUUCAAUUCUUUAUUAAAAAGGAUUUUUAAGUAAUUUCUAAAUUGAGUUGGUGUCGAGUUGAUUUGAUUUACGACACAAGCUUAGUCAACCUCAUUAUAUAAAUAUAGAUAUAGCCAAUGUUUUAAGAAUUGGAUCAAUGGUUGAAUCAAUUUGAUUACCAGACUUGGUUCAAUCGGUUUGACCAUUAAUUCAACAAUAAUUAAAUAAAGAAUUAAAAAAUCAUAGAAAUUAAAAAUUUUAAAAUUUUAAAAACCGGUUUGAUCGGUUCAAUCUUCAAUUUUUUUUCUUUCAAUUUUCAUUUUUUACCCAUUUCAAAUACUUUAUUCAAAGACCAAUUCGAUCCUUUGAUCUGAAUUGAUGUAUUAAUUGAUUUUCAACUCAACCCAUGGGUUCAAUUUGAAUUAACAACAUUAUAAUGCUUACUUGAUAUGAAUGUCUCAACUUCUAAAAGCAAAAUCAAAGGCAUCUAAGAAAGUAGUAAUUGAUAGAAUCUCUGAAACCAAAUUGAAUUCUUUUUAUUUGCACUUUUCUCGUUAAAACUUGUCCUAUGGCCAUUUGGUUCUGAUUUUUGUUUAAAAGAAUCUUAAUUAAAUUUAAAUGUAAAAACAUUUUUAUUAUUUUAUGUUAAUUUUAAGUUGUUUGUUAGUUGCAUGUUAAUAUGUAAUUCGUUACACAGUUUAGAACCAUUUCCUAUAAUUACGAGGCCUUGUCUAAAGAAUAAUUUAUUAUGAAUCAACAAUUUAAGUUGUGAUUUAGGUCUAAGUCGUUUACUUAAUUACAACCUCAAUCCUAUAUUUCAACUAAGAUCACUCUCCUCUAAAAUUUUCCUUAUAAAAGCUUAGUUACAAACAAGUAUUUUGCACUAAAAAAGAAAUUCUUCCCAUGAAUAAAAUAAGUGCUCUAUCUAAUUUCUACAUCACAAAAUAAAACAAAUCUUUAAUUAACAGGCAUUUUUUACUUGUAAUCCUCUAAAUAGUGUACUCGAAAUAUUCCUUAGUAGUUGCACUUCAAUUGGUCUUCUAUAAGACAUGAAAAAAGUAAAAAAAAAUAUUUAACAUUUGAACUUCUAUACAAAAGAAUCUCUUAGAACAUGAUAAGUGAAUUGUACUAGAACUCUUGGAAUUAUGUCCCAAAAUUGAUAUUCGUCAUAAUUCAAUUUAGCUAAUUGUUGCUCAAAGUCCUCGUAAAGUUGUAAGAAAAUAUAAUCACAAUAUUUGAGUUAAAAUAUGCGGGGAUAUAUGGCAAGUUGCUGAACUAUCCAGUUGCAAAGUGCGUUGAAUUGAUGGUGCAACUGAACUGUGCAGGGGUUUACUUAGCAAGAGGGUAUUGAUUACCAUGCCACAUUUUCUCCAAUUGCCAAACAAGUCACGGUUCACACUGUCAUUGCCCUUGCUGCUCACCAUGGAUGGCCAUUGUUUCGAAUGGAUGCUUACGAUGCUUUUUUACAAGGUGACUUACAUGAGGAAGUGUACAUGUUGCUUCCUCCCGGUUUUCGUACUCAGGGGGAGACUCAGAUUUGUCAACUACGAAAAUCACUUUAUGGAUUGAAUCAAGCAUCAAGAGAGUGGAACAUGAAGCUUACAGAGGCUCUUUUACUUUAUGGCUAUUCACAAAGUAAGCAUGACUAUUCUCUUUUUAUUAAGAGAGUUGAUGAUCGAAUUGUUAUCAUGCUUAUAUAUGUUGAUGAUUUAUUGAUAACCGAAAAUGAUGGAAUGUUUAUUGAUGAGUUGAAACAAGUGUUAAAUCAGAGUUUCAAGAUGAAAGAUUUGGGAGAGCUUAAGUAUUUUCUUGGCAUUGAAAUUUUCCGGUUAGGGAAUUGGGUUGUAUUGUAUCAAAGAAAGUAUGCUCUUGAAUUGAUUUCAGAUAUGGGGAUUAUUGGAGGGAAAGUAGCUGUUACCCCUUUAGAACAAAAUCAAAAGUUAACUUCCGUUGAAUAUAAUGAAACAAUACAAGUCAAUCACGGUGAUGAAAUGUUAUCAGAUGUACAAAUGUAUCAACUGUUGCGGAAGCGACGAUAAUAUUAAUAACAAUAUUAUCAGAAAUAUUUAGAUAAUUAUUAUGCCAACAAUUAUACUAAGAAAAUUCCCAGUUAAAUUGGAGGGGUCACAAAUGGUCCCGCUUAAAACCCAACAACUAGACAGAACUCACUUAGAUAUUUAUAGCAAUAAUAACUAAAUAAAUAUAACCAACAUAAAGCUAUUAAAUAUAAGCAAACAAAUAAGAAAUAAAAUACCAUAGAUUUAACGAGGUUCGGCCAAUUUAGCUUAGUCCUCGGACACUACCAAAUUAAUAUUUCUUCUAGAAAUAUUACAAAGGAGAAGAUUUUGGGAUAAUACAACCAAAGGGAGAGGGGUUCUAUAUAUAACAAACCAAACCACCUCCCUUUCUAUCUUUUCCUAAUGUGGGAUAUUGCCAAUAUUCAACAAAUCUCCACCUUGGUGAUAUUCCACAUCUUCGAACAUCUUCUCAUAACACAAACUUCAAUAGUGUCUUCAAAUUUGCGACCAAUCGCCUUCUUCCCUUUUGGUAGUUGUGCCAGCUUCCACGUCUUGUUUUUCUCUAGAGAUUGCAUUUCCUCUUCCAUUGCACCUAACCAUCUAUUAUUCUCUAAACUCUGAAUGGCUUCGGUGUAAGUGGAUGGAAUAUUAUCAACAACUGGAAGUGCAUAAGCUACCAUGUCAGUGAAACGAACAGGUUUCUGAAUUUCUCGUCUCUGCCUUCUGACUGCAAUUGGCUCUGAUUGCUGUUGAGGUUCUUGGGUAGAAACCUCUUCCUCAUCUGACUCUGCAUCUGCCAAUGAAGAAUCACUAGUGGUACCUUUUGCUGGAAUUACCACACUCUGCUCAAACUCCACCUACUGCGGAGUACACUCCACCUGCUGCGAAGUACUACUCACUCCUUCUGGAUUUACCUUAUUCAACAUGGCAGAUUCAUGAAAGGUAACAUCCCUACUGAUUAUCGUCUUCUUUGCCUCUAGACACCACAAACGAUAUCCCUUAACACCAGCAUUGAAGCCCAUGAAUAGAGCCUUCUUUGCUCUUGGAUCUAACUUUGAUUCUUUCACAUGAUAAUAUGCAAUAGAACCAAAAAUGCGCAAGGUGUCAUAAUCAGUAGCAGGUUUUCCAUACCAUUUCUCCAAAGGAGUCUUGCCAUUUAUAGCAGAUGAUGGCAAAUGAUUGAUGAGAUGUUGAGCGUACGUCACAGCCUCAGUCCAAAACUUUCUAUCUAAUCCAGCAUUAGAUAACAUACAUCGAACUUUCUCCACAAGCGUUCGAUUCAUACGCUCUGCCACCCCAUUCUGUUGCGGUGUUCCACCUACGGUGAAGUGCCUUACUAUGCCACAAUCUUGGCAUAUCUUCAGGAAAAGAUCGCUUUUAUAUUCUCCACCGUUGUCUGAUCGGAGAACCUUAAUCUUCCUUCCUGUCUGAUUUUCAACUUUAGUUUUCCACUUAAGGAAAACUUCAAGCACCUCAUCUUUGUUCUUCAUAGGAAACACCCAAACUCGUCUGGAAAAAUCAUCAAUAAAGGUGACAAAAUAACGUCUUCCUCCAAGUGAUGGAGUCUUGGACGGUCCCCAUACAUCAGAAUGCACAUAAUCCAGAAUACCUUUAGUAUUGUGAAUCCCAGUGCCAAAUUUCACCCUUCGUUGUUUUCCCAGAACACAAUGCUCGCAAAAUUCAAGUUUGCAAGUCUUUGUACCUUUCAAUAAUCCUUGCUUGGCUAGAGUUUGCAAGGAUUUUUCACCAGCAUGGCCCAAACGCAUAUGCCACAGCUGUGUUGCCUCAGCGUCCUUCUUGGUACUCGUAAUUGCUGCUGCUGUUGUCCCGACCACUGUACUACCUUGGUAGUAAUACAGAUUGUUCUUUCUUAUGCCUUUCAACAUCACCAAUGCUCCUGAAGUUGCUUUAAGAACUCCAUCUCGUAUUGUCACAACUAGGCCUUUAGAUUCUAACGACCCCAAAGAGAUGAGAUUCUUCUUCAACUUUGGGACAUAUCGUACAUCCCGCAAAAUUCUAGUAGAUCCAUCAUGACUCCUCAGUUUAAUUGAACCUAUCCCGGCUAUUUUACAUGUGUUAUCAUUACCCAUGUAAACAACCCCUUCAUCUAGUUUUUGAAAUUCAAAGAACCAUUCCCGAAUGGGACACAUAUGAUAGGAACAACCAGAAUCCAUGAUCCACUCAUCUGCAUAUAAUGUUGAAGAUGUCAUACUAAGAGAAAAGUCUGACUCUGCUUCACUAUUGCAUUCUGCAACAUUUGCAUCUUGCGGAGUCUUCCCUUUUUUCUUCAAUUUUGGACAAUCUUUCUUCCAAUGUCCUUUUUCUUUGCAAAAAAAAACAUUCAUCUUUGGCAACAGCUCGACCUUUGGACUUUCUUCUCUUCCCCUUAGACUGACUUUGCUGACGACCUCUUGUUACCAAUGCUUCCACUGCUGCUUCACCUGAACCUUUCAACUUAUCCUUUCGGCGUAGUUCAUAGCUAUACAAUGCAGCAGUUACUUCAUUGAAAGUUACUUCCGAUUUUCCAUGAAGUAGAGUAGUUUCAAGGUACUCAAACUCCUCAAGAAGCGAUCCCAACAACAUUAACGCCAAGUCUUCGUCUUCAAAAGUCACAUCCAAAUUCAACAAAUCAGCCACCAGCUGAUUAAAAUUGGUAAUGUGCUCGUUCAUCGUGGUACCAGGAACAUAAUUGAAACGAAACAGUCUUUUCUUCAUAUGCAACUUAUUUUGACUGUUCUUCUUCAAGAAUUUCUCCUCCAAUGCUUUCCACAAUUUACUUGCAGAAGUCUCUUUACUGAAUGUAUACUUUUGCUCUCUGGAAAGACAUGAUCGAAUUGUACCACAUGCCAAUCGGUUGAUGGUCUUCCAUUCUUUAUCAUCAACCCCUUCUGGUUUUUCUUCCUCAAUGGCAAUAUCUAGACCUUGUUGAAAGAGGGCAUCUAAAAGCUCGCUUUGCCACAUGCCGAAAUGACCUGUUCCAUCAAAAAUUUCCACUGCAAAUCUCGUAUUUGCAGUUCCAACCCUCGACAAAAUGUACGAAGUGGAAGUUGUUGAUAUGGAUGGUUUUUCUUCUGUCAUUUUUGCCAUAGCUUCUAUUUAAUAGCCACCAAAUGCGGAAUACCCACAAGCUUUCGGAAAUGUUUCUGAUGUGUAAGAUCAAACUAAGCUGCAAACACAGAGCAUACUACAAAACCUUGGCUCUGAUACCAAUUGUUGCGGAAGCGACGAUAAUAUUAAUAACAAUAUUAUCAGAAAUAUUUAGAUAAUUAUUAUGCCAACAAUUAUACUAAGAAAAUUCCCAGUUAAAUUGGAGGGGUCACAAAUGGUCCCGCUUAAAACCCAACAACUAGACAGAACUCACUUAGAUAUUUAUAGCAAUAAUAACUAAAUAAAUAUAACCAACAUAAAGCUAUUAAAUAUAAGCAAACAAAUAAGAAAUAAAAUACCAGAGGUUUAACGAGGUUCGGCCAAUUUAGCUUACGUCCUCGGACACUACCAAAUUAAUAUUUCUUCUAGAAAUAUUACAAAGGAGAAGAUUUUGGGAUAAUACAACCAAAGGGAGAGGGGUUCUAUAUAUAACAAACCAAACCACCUCCCUUUCUAUCUUUUCCUAAUGUGGGAUAUUGCCAAUAUUCAACAUCAACAACUUAUUGGGAGAUUGUUGUACUUGACUCACACAAGGCUAGAUAUUGCUUUUGCAAUUCAACACUCAAGUUAGUUCAUGCAACGACCAAAAAAGUCACACUAUGAGGCAGCACUAUGAAUAGUAAGAUAUGUGAAGAAAGAUCUCAGGAGAGGGUUGUUUUUUCUGGUAAAUGGAUCCACACAAUUAAUAGCAUAUUGUGACUUGGAUUGGGCAUCUUGUCCAAUAUUGAGAAAGUCAAUUACAUGAUUUUGUGUUAAAUUGGGAGAUUCAUUGAUCUCGUGGAAAAAAAAACCAUCUCAAGGUCAUCAGCUGAGGCCAAAUACAAAAGCAUGGCCUUGACAAUAUUUGAAAUUGUAUGGUUGAGAAGGUUAUUAGACAAGCUUGGUGUUAAAGACAGGGAACCAACAACGUUAUUCUGGAAUAAUAAAGCAGCAAUUCAAAUAGCAAAUAAUCUUGUCUUUCACGAGAGAACAAAACAUAUAGAAAUUGAUUGUCUCUUUGUGAGAGAAAAAAUACAAAGAGGGUUGGUUCACACUGAGUAUGUGUCAACAAAAGAUCAACUUGCAUAUUUUCUAACAAAAGGACUUGGAUUCAUAGCAUGAACACUUAGUUGGCAAGUUAGGCAUGAAAGAUUUAUUUCACUCUCACCCACCAACUUGAAGGGGAGUGUGGAAGUUGUAAAUAUGAUUAGGCAAUUAUUAAGUUUAUUCAUUAAACUAUUAGUAGAAUGGUGUAUAUUAAUCAACUAUUGUAAGCUUAUUGAAUUGAAUCGAGUAAGAAAUUCUUUUACUCUUGAAUCAAUUGUUUUCCUAAUUCAAUCGAUUGUUCUCUUUGUUUAAUAGAUUAUUCUCUCAUUUCAAUCGAUUGUUUUCUUGUUUUAAUCCUCAGCCACCUCGAUAGGUAGGUAAAAUAAAUUAUAAUUUUAUUUUAAAUAUAAUAUAUAUUCUAAAAUUAAAAUAUUACUAUUACAUAGAAGUAACUUUUUGGACUUAUAUACAAGUGUGUUUGAAAAGUCAUAUGUAAAUUGGAUUUCAGUAUAAUGAUUAGUAACUAUUCACUUAAUUACCCCCAAUUCUCACAUUCUCUUAAAAAUUAAAAAUUGUAAUUAAAGUACCCUAAUUAAACUUGAUUAAAUAAACUCCUUAAUUAUAAUAAUUACUAAAAACAUAUUAUAUAUAAUUACAAAUAAUUACACGUAAGUAACAAAAUUAAUGUUGCUAUAAUUAAACAAUAUUCAUCGUAUUUUUUAGGGCUUCAAUUAUGGUCAUGAUGUAUCUUAUCUGUUUCUCUGCAUGAUUACCGAUUAAGUUGUGAAAUUUUCAUUAUGUGUGAUGAUAAUUUCUUUUCAUAUAAUUAUACUAUCACACAAAUUAAAUCUACCAAUUCAUCUUAUGUUUUGGGAUAAAAUGAAACCAAUAAAUCUACUAUCCUAACUGCAUUACAUCUUCUCAUGAUUAUGGAUUCAAUUUGAAGUUCAAGAAUAUAUAUAAUUCUCCUAAUAAUAAUUUUUCUGGCCUUUCAAUUUUAUACAAAAUAAAUCAUUUUAACUUUCCGUUUAAGUUUUCGUCUUUUUUAUUCUGUCAAAUCAUCCCAAAAUAGAUGGAAAAAUUUAACUUUGUUAACUUUGCUGAUGUGGCAUACACGUUGAUUGCCACGUGGAUGACUACAUGUCAACAUUUAAUUGAAUUUUUAAAAUUUAAAAGAUAUAAAAAAUAUUUUUAAUGAUUUUAAUUUUAAAAAAUAUUUUGUUGAAUUUUUUAAAAUUUAAAAUUUAAUUAAAUGCUGAUGUAUCAUCCACGCGUAUGCCAUGUUAGAAAGUUAAAAAAAACAUUAACUUUGAUAGAAAAACAAAUUUAAAAGCUAAAAGAAGAGAAUCCUAGCUAAAAUAAGGAACCUAAUUAAAGUUAGGGAGGAUAAGGAUAAGAUAAUAAAAUAUGAGGAUGAUUAUAAUGUAUAAUUAGAGGGCAAAUUAAAAAAAGGAUUUGGGCUUAAAACUUGACAAAAUUGGCACACCCCAGUUGGGAAAACAACAAGAAGCAUGCUUUAUGAGUACAUUACGUCUUAAUAUCCAUUAAUUGUUGGCUGCUUAACCCACAAGUAAAAGCUUUGGAUAUAUGUAAAUUCCAUUUUUCUUUGCUAACGUUGUCGAGUUUCAGCGGUAAUCAUUUCUAAAUUGAUGCAAGUAACAAGCUUUCAUUACUUUUAUCUCACUAAUUCUCUUGAAUGAACAAAAUAACAGAUUUGAGUUUUAAAAAUAGGAUAAACAUGUAUAUAUAAUUAUAGCUGUCAUGAUUAUUUAUUAAUUUAUUGAAUGCAAUCUAUCUAAAGUUGAAAUAUACGUAAUUAUCAUACUAAUGAUGGGUUUGGAUGGGCGAUUGAGUGCGGUGCGUUGCGUUUAGCUUACUUUUUGUCUCACGCUACAGUAUCGCUACAGUAUCUAAUCUCACCACCACCACUGUUUUUACACUAACUGCAGGUAAACGCACUGUCCAUCCAAACUCACUCUAAAUCUCAAAUAAUUCAUACACAAUUUAUUUAGUCAAUGAACUCAUGUUCCUAAAUAUUGCAAAAUAGUUACACUAGAAUAGUGUCAAUCUUUAAUUUUAAGGUCGAAACUUAUUUUGGUAUAAUGUCAUUAAUUUUUAACGUUUGUAUUUUUUUUUUGUUAAUUUGAUUAUUUUUUUAGUUAAAUGUGACUUUCAAUUUUUUAGAAAGAGUCACAUUUGGUAUUCACUCUUUCAAAACGAGAUUCUUUUUUUUUAAUGGAACCAUACAAGGGAAAAAUAACAAACCCUCAUUAGAUGGUGAAGAGCAAGCUCUAUCAACACAAUAAAGGCUUUAGCCUCAGCAUCAAUAGAGCAUCAUGACACGCUGACAAUCGGCUUUGCCACAACUCAAGACGACAUAUCUGGAGUGAUUGCAAGCUCUUAAUACGAUAUGAAAAUUAACCUUGGAUGGUCCAAAGCGGCGAGCAAAAAUCGACAAAAGAAUCGAGUAUUCACCAAACUAGAGAGGACGACAACAAAAUCAACCCUAAAAUCACUAGUAAAAUUAAGGUUACCUGCGUAAGUAAGAAUAAAAAAUGUGCUACAAAAGCAGACAAAAACUUCUAAAACUAAAAACUUAUUAAACAAUGGAAAAAGAAACAAAAAAUAUAUAAACCUCAAGACAACAUGGGUCCAAAUCGACUCGUGAAGUCAUUUAUUAUUCUGAAAUACUCUCAAAACAAAAACAUAUUAAGAACUUGAAGAAGAGCCAUCCACUUUUCAAGAAAAAUUACUGGUAGCCAGUGGAGUUUUAGCAAACGACAAGCAUCGUCAUCUGUCCAUCACAACUUGUGAAGACAAUAAAGUACCCACAAAAUAGAUCUGCAAACUGAAAAGAGAGAAAAGAUGUGGAGUGAAUGAGAAGAAGAAAGAAAUAAAGGGUUGGUGGGAGGGAGAAAAAAGCAGGCGAUAGCCAGCCUGGAGGCUGGCACCACCGCUGGGCAAAACUAAAGAUAAGAAACAAAUGGCUUGGAGAAAAAAAUAGAAAAGAAUCUUUCAAAAGAGUUGAAUUAUUUUUUUAAUAGAAAAUACUGACUAAAACGUUAUAUUUUUAAACAUGGUAGCUGGCAUGGCAUAUCACAUGUAUCUCAUGCUAUUUUUCUGAACUUUUAUAUACUUUUUAAUUUUAAAUUAAUUGUUGAUAUGGCAAAUAAAACAAAUAGUGUCAUGUCAACAUGAAUUACACGUGGACUAUCAUGCAGGUUGCUAUGACAACAUCGUUUAAAAAAUAAUAAUGUUUUAGUCAGAAUUUUUAUUUAAAAAAAUUAACUCUUUUUGAAAGGUUAAUAAUUAAAUUUAUCUUAAAAAAAUUCAAAUUAACAAAAAAAUAUAAAUAUUAAUGUCUAAAUGUAACAUUAUGCCUUGUAUUUUCUUGUUAUUGCAUAUUAUUCUAUCUUAAUAUAGUCAUUCAAGUUUAUUACGUGAUAAAAUUUUCUACCUUCACUUGAUUGUAAUUAUAUCACAUAGGUUAUAUCAUUGAUUGUCUAUGGUGAUAUAUUUAAGUUGGAUUUCUAUAACAAUUAUCAACUAAUUUUAAGUUGAAUGUUAGAGAAAUUUGAGGGUGAUCUAUAAAAGUUGGGGUUGAAAUAUAGUUAGUAGGUGACCGCGAUGCCCACCACAACGUGCCGUUAGGGGAGGUUGCAUGUUGUUGUCUAAGUGUGGCAAAAGAUCCCAUGGUGGUUCUUGCAAACACUCAUCAAGCUGCAUAAUUGGUCACUAAUGGCUUUCGAUUGAAAAAAAUAAUAAUCAUUUCUACGUCUUUAUCUGUAAAAAUGGUCUGCUACUGCUAGCUAGCAUGUGAAAAUACGAAUGCUACAAAACACAGGCUGAUGAAGAAACAUUAUCAAUUUUGGGGCCAAGGAAUCCGACACAACAAUAAUCCCACUUUCUCGAGGGUUUGGCAAAGUUCAUUCUAACAAUCAAAUGUGCUAUUAUGUACUAUCUUUUAACAAUGACUCUUGUUCCUUUCUCCCACACUUCUCAAUGAUGCUUAAGGAUGUAAGGAUUGUGACCAAAUAUUGUGCCAUCAGUAAUUUAUGGAUAACAAUGAUUCAAUUUUUUUUUUUAUAAAAAAAGGUCAUAAUUAAUGUGUAUUCUUGUAGUUUUCUAAAAAUCAAAUUGAAUAUCACAACUUAUCUGAAUUAAAAAAAUUAACUAAAUAUAAUUAAAUAAUAUAAAUUCAAACUAAAAUAAAAUUGAAACGAAAUCCAAAUUGAAUAUUAGAGUUUAUCAUAUUUUAAUUUUUGUGAGUCGUAGGGAAAUCUAAAGGACCCCAAAUCUGAUCAUAUAUAUAAUUAGUAGUAGUAAUAGACAGCACAUGGCUGCCUUUAAGUAAAAAGAAGGGCAUGAAAGCCGUGUUCCCUCAGUGAAGGGAUUUCCUGUUCCAAUCAAACAUGCUUUGAUAUUGUUGGUAGAUCUCAAACAAUUACUAAUUACAUUUUGGAGUUAUUUGAAUGCUGAAUAAUCACGUUUGAUUCCUUAAAAAGAGCUAUAACACAUCCACAUACUCUUUGGGUCAGCCAUCCUCAUGUGAAUAAAAGGAACCCCCUAACUGUUCGUCAAGCAGAUGGGAAAAGUGUGGCCACUUAUUUGCUGGUAAGUCUACCAAACUUCUAAUUCCUGGUCGGUUAACCUUGUGGGGUUGCAAAUUGCCGAUGAUUAUGUUGAUUACAUAUAGAUUUCGAUAUCAUUUCAUUAUUUCAAGUGAUUGCAGAUGUUGAGAUUCGAAUUUUAAAUUUAAUAGAUAUUUUUUAAAGAUGAUUGUCUAAAUUAAUUUGGAUGCACCGAUUGAAUUCUAAUAUGAUGUGAAAUUUGGAAUUUGGUGAACCAUAAAGUUGAGAUGGUAUAAAAUUGAUGGGAUUUGUACUUUUGGGAGAUUGCACAAGAUUUUCAAAGAGAUUUUCCAAGGAAGAAAAAGGAAUAGUGUUUUAGGGGGUAUAGAAGGCAACAAGCAAGUUGAUUGAUGGAGACACAGAGAAUAUGUGGCUGUGGGCCUUAACUUUAUCUAUAUUUCAAUCUACACCAAUUGGGGGGUUAUGAUUUUGCCCAAAGACGUGCAGAUAAGAUCCAAUUUGUGCCUGACUGGCAUGCUGAUUUUUUUUUUUAACUUUCUUUUCUUACCAAACAAUUAAGGAUCAUUACAUCUUUUUCUUUACCAUAGAAAUAGGUGAUAUGGAUAAUAAUGAAACGUAAAGGAUUUAGCUAACCAGAUUUUUGGUUGUCAACUGGGUUGAUUUUUCGUUUUUGAUCAAUGGUUGAGGGUAAUUUUAAAUGGAGAUUGUGAGGCCUGAAAAAAAGGCUGAAAAGUAAGUCCAUUGACUGAGAAAAGCAAGGCGGCCUACCUAGCCCAACUGCACUCUAGCUUGUGCUUUUAGGAUUAGAGUAUGGACUGUUUGGGUUCUUAAAGUUGGGUCACAACCUAUUAUAUAGAGAUCAUAAGCAGGACAGGUUAAUUUUAAAGCCACAGCUUUUUGUCAUUUAAAAAAAAAAAAAAAAGGUCACAAAUGAAGAGUGUACAUGCCCUUUGUUUGACUUGCUUCAUAUUACCGUUCAUAUCGAUCUAGAAGGUAGAGUUUGAUUAAUUGAAUUUCAAUUAAAUAAAACUAAACACUUGUAAAGUUCUCCAUUCAAAGAUUUAAACAAUUGUAAAGUUUUCUGACAUCCCACCUUAGUUUAAGGAAAAGCCAUUUCCCUGGAUGACAUAUUACUAGUACCCAACGAUUCUAAUAUCAAACAUGGCGGUAGUGUUAUCGUUUAGGACAAUGAAACCAGCCUAAGGUACAUUGGCAUGGAUUUUUGUUAGAUUUAAGAGCCACACAAACAUGCAAUGUGAGCCACCAAGUUUGAGAUUUUUGCUCCCAAUAAGCACAACAAGUGGAGGCAAAGGGGCUUUGAUAUCAGAUUCUGGUUGCCACAUGGCAAAGCACUGGCCAAUUGGGCAUCCACUCUCCUAUCCAUUAUGAUAAACCCCCUGGAAUACAUUAACAGAUUUUAAUAUCCUUGUCUGCCACAAAAACCCCCUCAAUUCCCCCACCUCAUUGUAGGCAAAAUGGCCUCUGUUUGUGCUUCUUCUGCCAUUGCAGCCGUUGCCAUCUCAUCCCCCAGGCAAGCUCUCUUUCCCUUAUUAUUAUCAACCUAUUUUCGAACAAUAUAAACCUAUGUUAUUAAGAAUGAAAGUGAGUGUGGGGAUAUCUAAUUAUGUGCCGACAUGAAUGUCAGAAGAAAAAUAGUAACACAGUUAACCAUGCUAAAUGUCUGCACAUGUAAGUGUAUUAGAAAUGAUUAACUGGUAGUUAACCAUUUAUAAGUGAUCAUGCUACACUGAUCGGGUAGGAAUUUUCCAGCUAUUUACAUGUGAUAGAAUUCUUUGGUUAAAAUGGUGUAAACAAAAACUAGAAAUAAUAGUUGAGGCGAUCAGGUUAUGAUGCGUAAGAAAUGUUUACAGUUCCCAGAGGAGUGGAUCAGUAGUGAGGACAACAAAGGCUUCUUUCCUUACAGGGAAGAAACUUCGAUCAGUCAAAAAGUACACAAAACCAGCAGCAGCCCGAACAGUUCCGGUGUGUGCAGUGGCUGACCCCGACCGACCUCUUUGGUUCCCAGGCAGUACUCCUCCUCCAUGGCUCGAUGGCAGCCUCCCUGGAGACUUCGGUUUUGAUCCUCUAGGCCUUGGUAUAAUCAUGUUUCAUCCAUUGAAUUGAAUCAAGUACCUCACAAAGUUAAAAUCUUUUUUUUUCUGUGCGUGUGUGUGUGUGUGUGUGUGUAAUAUAGGGUUGAAUUUUAUUUUUUAUUUUUCACAGGAUCAGACCCUGAGACCUUGAGAUGGAACGUACAGGCAGAGCUCGUCCAUUGCAGAUGGGCAAUGUUAGGAGCCGCUGGGAUUUUCAUCCCAGAGUUCCUAACCAAAAUUGGCAUUUUAAACACUCCAUCAUGGUACUCUGCUGGAACCGAGGAAUACUUCACUGACACCACCACCCUCUUCAUCGUUGAGCUUAUUUUCAUCGGGUGGGCAGAAGGGAGAAGAUGGGCUGACAUUCUCAAGCCUGGGUGCGUAAACACCGACCCCAUCUUCCCUAACAACAAGCUCACGGGCACCGAUGUUGGGUACCCUGGUGGGCUGUGGUUCGAUCCUCUUGGUUGGGGAACUGGCUCCCCUGAGAAGAUCAAGGAAUUGAGGACUAAAGAGAUCAAGAAUGGUCGAUUGGCUAUGUUGGCGGUAAUGGGUGCUUGGUUCCAACACAUCUAUACUGGCACUGGACCCAUUGACAACCUUUUCGACCACCUCGCCGAUCCUGGUCACGCCACCAUUUUUGCUGUAAGUUCAUCCCCUCAAAAACCAAUUCCAUUUGUAGUGUUUAGUUUCAGUUUGGAUAGAUUAUUCAAUUUGAAUCGGUUUUGGUUGAAUUAUUAUUCAAGUAUAUUCUAUUUGGUUAUGUUUUUGAUUCAGAGGUUAAAGCUUUAGGAGUUAAAAUUUUAAUGCCAUAUAUAGAUGCUGUCAAUAAACACCUUUACUUUGAAUCAAAUUUGUUGUCUUCCUAAGGGUCGGACUAACUGGUGUUGGUUGUCCAUGUCAGGCUUUCACUCCCAAGUGAGACAGGAUUAAGAGACAACCUUUAAGAGCGAUUAAAAUGUUGGGAUGACAAUGAUGAUCAUACCAUUCCAUACGUUGGAAGAAGAGCGGAAGACUUGUAAUGUUGUGGGGGAAUGUUUGUAUUAGUAGAAACUGUAAUGCCUCUGUUUGUAUUGUAGAUGUUAUAGUG